rnacentral:rRNA from 1 species
UGGGGAAUAUUGGACAAUGGGCGAAAGCCUGAUCCAGCCAUGCCGCGUGUGUGAAGAAGGUCUUCGGAUUGUAAAGCACUUUAAGUUGGGAGGAAGGGCAGUAAGCGAAUACCUUGCUGUUUUGACGUUACCGACAGAAUAAGCACCGGCUAACUCUGUGCCAGCAGCCGCGGUAAUACAGAGGGUGCAAGCGUUAAUCGGAAUUACUGGGCGUACAGCGCGCGUAGGUGGUUCGUUAAGUUGAAUGUGAAAGCCCCGGGCUCAACCUGGGAACUGCAUCCAAAACUGGCGAGCUAGAGUAGGGCAGAGGGUGGUGGAAUUUCCUGUGUAGCGGUGAAAUGCGUAGAUAUAGGAAGGAACACCAGUGGCGAAGGCGACCACCUGGGCUCAUACUGACACUGAGGUGCGAAAGCGUGGGGAGCAAACAGG